rnacentral:piRNA from 1 species
UGAAGAAUUGCCUUGAUUGGACUAGCC